GUCGAACGGAAAGGCCCUGCUUGCAGGGUACUCGAGUGGCGAACGGGUGAGUAACACGUGGGUGAUCUGCCCUGCACUUCGGGAUAAGCUUGGGAAACUGGGUCUAAUACCGGAUAGGAACCAUCUUUAGUGUGGUGGUUGGAAAGUUUUUUCGGUGUAGGAUGAGCUCGCGGCCUAUCAGCUUGUUGGUGGGGUAAUGGCCUACCAAGGCGGCGACGGGUAGCCGGCCUGAGAGGGUGUACGGCCACAUUGGGACUGAGAUACGGCCCAGACUCCUACGGGAGGCAGCAGUGGGGAAUAUUGCACAAUGGGCGCAAGCCUGAUGCAGCGACGCCGCGUGGGGGAUGAAGGCCUUCGGGUUGUAAACUCCUUUCGCUAGGGACGAAGCUUUUUGUGACGGUACCUAGAUAAGAAGCACCGGCUAACUACGUGCCAGCAGCCGCGGUAAUACGUAGGGUGCGAGCGUUGUCCGGAAUUACUGGGCGUAAAGGGCUCGUAGGUGGUUUGUCGCGUCGUCUGUGAAAUUCUGGGGCUUAACUCCGGGCGUGCAGGCGAUACGGGCAUAACUUGAGUGCUGUAGGGGUAACUGGAAUUCCUGGUGUAGCGGUGAAAUGCGCAGAUAUCAGGAGGAACACCGAUGGCGAAGGCAGGUUACUGGGCAGUUACUGACGCUGAGGAGCGAAAG
rnacentral:rRNA from 1 species